rnacentral:rRNA from 1 species
UGAAUACGAGAUGCUACGGCAUCGAAGCAGUCUAUGUCAUACUUCCAAGAAAAGCUUGCACUGUCAUAAACAAAUAAUGCCUGUACCAUAACCGACACAGGUGGGUAGGUAGAGUAUACUAAGGGGCGCGAGAUAACUCUCUCUAAGGAACUCGGCAAAAUGACUCCGUAACUUCGGGAGAAGGAGUGCCUUAUUUUAUAAGGUUGCAAUAACAAGAUCCAAGCAACUGUUUACCAAAAACACAGGUCUCCGCUAAGUCGUAAGACGAUGUAUGGGGGCUGACGCCUGCCCAGUGCCAGAAGGUUAAAGAAGUUGGUUAGCAUUAGCGAAGCUGAUAACUGAAGCCCUGGUGAACGGCGGCCGUAACGAUAACGGUCCUAAGGUAGCGAAAUUCCUUGUCGGGUAAGUUCCGACCCGCACGAAAGGCGUAAUGAUUUGGAUACUGUCUCGGAGAGGGGCUCGGUGAAAUAGACUUGUCUGUGAAGAUGCGGACUACCUGCACCAGGACAGAAAGACCCUAUGAAGCUUUACUGUAACUUGAGAUUGAAAUUGGACUUUAUUUGCGCAGUAUAGGUGGGAGACGUUGAAAAUAUUCUUGCGGGAAUAUUGGAGUCAUCAGUGAGAUACCACUCUUAUAAUGUUAGAUUUCUAACUUUGUAUCAUUAUCUGGUCAAAGAACAGUCUCAGGCGGGCAGUUUGACUGGGGCGGUCGCCUCCCAAACGGUAACGGAGGCGCACAAAGGUUUCCUCUGAACGUGUAGAAAUCGUAUCUAGAGUGUAAAGGCAUAAGGAAGCUUGACUGUGAGACCUACAAGUCGAGCAGGGACGAAAGUCGGUCUUAGUGAUCUGACGGUGCUGAGUGGAAAGGCCGUCACUCAACGGAUAAAAGUUACUCUAAGGAUAACAGGCUGAUCUCCCCCAAGAGUUCACAUCGACGGGGAGGUUUGGCACCUCGAUGUCGGCUCAUCGCAUCCUGGGGCGGUAGUACGUCCCAAGGGUUGGGCUGUUCGCCCAUGAAAGCGGUACGCGAGCUGGGUUCAGAACGUCGUGAGACAGUUCGGUCCAUAUCCGGUGUAGGCGUUAGAAUAUUGAGAGGAGCCUUCUUUAGUACGAGAGGACCGAGAAGGACAUACCUCUGGUGUACCAGUUAUCGUGCCAACGGUAAACGCUGGGUAGCUAUGUAUGGAGAGGAUAACCGCUGAAAGCAUCUAAGUGGGAAGCCCACCUCAAGAUAAG